GAUGAACGCUGGCGGCGUGCCUAAUACAUGCAAGUCGAGCGAACAGAUAAGGAGCUUGCUCCUUUGACGUUAGCGGCGGACGGGUGAGUAACACGUGGGUAACCUACCUAUAAGACUGGGAUAACUUCGGGAAACCGGAGCUAAUACCGGAUAACAUUUGGAACCGCAUGGUUCUAAAGUGAAAGAUGGUUUUGCUAUAACUUAUAGAUGGACCCGCGCCGUAUUAGCUAGUUGGUAAGGUAACGGCUUACCAAGGCAACGAUACGUAGCCGACCUGAGAGGCUGAUCGGCCACACUGGAGCUGAGACAGGGUCCAUACGCCUACGGGAGGCAGCAGUAGGGAAUCUGCGGCAAUGGGCGAAAGCCUGACGGAGCAACGCCGCGUGAGUGAUGAAGGGUUUCGGCUCGUAAAACUCGGUUAUUAGGGAUGAACAACUGUGUAAGUUACUGUGCACUUCUUGACGGUACUGAAUCAGAAAGCCACGGCUAACUACGUG
rnacentral:rRNA from 1 species